AUGGGGGGAACAUCCUCCAAGGCUAAAUACUCCUGACUGACCGAUAGUGAACCAGUACCGUGAGGGAAAGGCGAAAAGAACCCCUGUGAGGGGAGUGAAAUAGAUCCUGAAACCGCGUACGUACAAGCAGUAGGAGCCUCUUCGUGGGGUGACUGCGUACCUUUUGUAUAAUGGGUCAGCGAGUUAUUGUCAGUAGCAAGGUUAACCGUUUAGGGGAGCCGUAGGGAAACCGAGUCUUAAUAGGGCGAAUGAGUUGCUGGUAAUAGACCCGAAACCGGGCGAUCUAUCCAUGAGCAGGUUGAAGGUGCCGUAACAGGCACUGGAGGACCGAACCCACCUAUGUUGAAAAAUGGGGGGAUGAGCUGUGGCUCGGAGUGAAAGGCUAAUCAAGCCCGGAGAUAGCUGGUUCUCCUCGAAAACUAUUUAGGUAGUGCCUCGCGUUUGACUGCUGGGGGUAGAGCACUGUGUCGGCUAGGGGGUCAUCCCGACUUACCAACCCGAUGCAAACUCCGAAUACCAGUAAGUUUUAUCGCGGGAGACAGACGGCGGGUGCUAACGUCCGUCGUCAAGAGGGCAACAACCCAGACCACCAGCUAAGGUCCCUAAUAUCAGUUAAGUGGGAAACGAUGUGGGAAGGCUUAGACAGCUAGGAGGUUGGCUUAGAAGCAGCCACCCUUUAAAGAAAGCGUAAUAGCUCACUAGUCGAGUCGGCCUGCGCGGAAGAUAUAUCGGGGCUAAACUGAUAACCGAAGCUGUGGAUGCGCACUUUGUGCGUGUGGUAGAGGAGCGUUCUGUAAGCCGUUGAAGGUGAAUCGUAAGGUUUGCUGGAGGUAUCAGAAGUGCGAAUGCUGACAUGAGUAACGAUAAGGGGGGUGAAAAACCUCCCCGCCGAAAGAUCAAGGUUUCCUGUCCAACGUUAAUCGGGACAGGGUGAGUCGGCCCCUAAGGCGAGGGCGAAAGCCGUAGUCGAUGGAAAACCGGUUAAAAUUCCGGUACCGAUUUUUACUGCGAUGGAGGGACGGAGAAGGCUAGGCUAGCACGGCGUUGGUAGUCCGUGUUUAAGCGUGUAGGUAGGGGGAUUAGGUAAAUCCGGUUCCUCGUUAAUCUGAGACGUGAUGACGAUCUCUUGGGGCGACCCUUGAGAGAAGUAGUUGAUGCCAUACUUCCAGGAAAAUCUUCUAAGCUUCAGGUAAGAAUUGACCGUACUGUAAACCGACACAGGUGAUCAGGUAGAGAAUACCAAGGCGCUUGAGAGAACUUGGGUGAAGGAACUAGGCAAAAUGGUACCGUAACUUCGGGAGAAGGUACGCUCCUCAUGGUGAUCGGACUUGCUCCGUAAGCUGAGGGGAGUCGAAGUGACCAGGUGGCUGCAACUGUUUAUUAAAAACAUAGCACUCUGCAAACUCGUGAGAGGAAGUAUAGGGUGUGACGCCUGCCCGGUGCCGGAAGGUUAAUUGAUGGGGUUAUCUUCGGAGAAGCUCUUGAUCGAAGCCCCGGUAAACGGCGGCCGUAACGAUAACGGUCCUAAGGUAGCGAAAUUCCUUGUCGGGUAAGUUCCGACCCGCACGAAAGGCGUAAUGAUUUGGAUACUGUCUCGGAGAGGGGCUCGGUGAAAUAGACUUGUCUGUGAAGAUGCGGACUACCUGCACCAGGACAGAAAGACCCUAUGAAGCUUUACUGUAGCCUGUAAUUGAAUCCGGGCUGAGCUUGCGCAGGAUAGGUGGGAGGCAUUGAAGUUGCCCUUGUGGGGGUAAUGGAGCCAACGGUGAGAUACCACUCUGGCGCAGCUAGGAUUCUAACUUGGAGCCGUUAGCCGGCACAAGAACCGUUGCAGGUGGGCAGUUUGACUGGGGCGGUCG
rnacentral:rRNA from 1 species